rnacentral:rRNA from 1 species
GAUUAGCUAGUUGGUGGGGUAAGGGCCUACCAAGGCGACGAUCGGUAGCUGGUCUGAGAGGAUGACCAGCCACACUGGGACUGAGACACGGUCCAGACUCCUACGGGAGGCAGCAGUGGGGAAUAUUGGACAAUGGGGGGAACCCUGAACCAGCAAUGCCGCGUGUGUGAAGAAGGCCUGAGGGUUGUAAAGCACUUUCAGUGGGGAGGAGAGUUGUUAUGUUAUUAGCUAGAGGUAAUCUGGACGUUACCCACAGAAGAAGCACCGGCUAACUCCGUGCCAGCAGCCGCGGUAAUACGGAGGGUGCAAGCGUUAAUCGGAAUUACUGGGCGUAAAGGGUUCGUAGGAGGUUAAUAAGUUAUGUGUGAAAUCCCCGGGCUCUAACCUGGGCAGGUCAGAUAUAACUGUCAGACUCGAGUAUAGGAGAGGGUAGUGGAAUUUCCGGUGAAACGGUGAAAUGCGAAGAGAUCGGGAUUAACACCAGUGGCGAAGGCGGCUACCUGGCCUAAUACUGACACUGAGGCACGAAAGCGUGGGGAGCAAACAGGAUUAUAUACCCUGGUAGUCCACGCUGUAAACGAUGUCAACUAGCUGUUGG